AAGUCGUAACAAGGUUUCCGUAGGUGAACCUGCGGAAGGAUCAUUAACACGUAUUCAAACGUUAAAACAACCCUGUGAACCAGCGUGUUCUUGCAGGACAUCAAACAAUCCCGAGUAAAUCAGGCGCUAAAGAAUUACAGAUUUUGAUUUUGGGUGUGUACGUGGACGCUGAGCGCUAGAUAAAGCACCCUGGUACUCCCCUGUCUGAAAUCGGCAGGGAUCAAUGUUCAGGGUGGCGCAGUCAACGAUCGCUGUAGGUCCACACGACCGGCGACCGGGGUGGAGGCGAAAGGCCCUACGUCAUCCCUAUGUACCCUCCGGGACUUGGCGAAAGCUGACUCCGUCAUAAAUCGAACAACUGUUAACAAUGGAUCUC
rnacentral:misc_RNA from 1 species